UACAGAGGUCUCAAGCGUUGUUCGGAUUCAUUGGGCGUAAAGGGCGCGUAGGCGGUGGGGUAAGUCUGGUGUGAAAUCUCGGAGCUCAACUUCGAAAUUGCACUGGAUACUGCUCUGCUAGAGGGCUGGAGAGGAGAUCGGAAUUCACGGUGUAGCAGUGAAAUGCGUAGAUAUCGUGAGGAAGACCAGUGGCGAAGGCGGAUCUCUGGA
rnacentral:rRNA from 1 species